rnacentral:rRNA from 1 species
GUGGGGAAUAUUCCGCAAUGGACGAAAGUCUGACGGAGCAACGCCGCGUGAGUGAUGAAGGUUUUCGGACUGUAAAGCUCUGUUGUUUAGGACGAAAGUGUCUGUUGCAAAUAGUUACAGGUAUUGACGGUACUGAACGAGGAAGCCACGGCUAACUACGUGCCAGCAGCCGCGGUAAUACGUAGGUGGCAAGCGUUGUCCGGAAUUAUUGGGCGUAAAGAGCAUGUAGGCGGGAAUCUAAGUCUGUUGUGAAAAUGCGGGGCUCAACCCCGUAUUGCGAUGGAAACUGGGUUUCUUGAGUGCAGGAGAGGAAAGGGGAAUUCCCAGUGUAGCGGUGAAAUGCGUAGAUAUCGGGAGGAACACCAGUGGCGAAGGCGGCUUCCUGGCACAAUACUGACGCUCAUGUGCGAAAGCUAGGGCAGCGAACGGGAUUAGAAACCCUUGUAGUCC